rnacentral:lncRNA from 1 species
AAGAAGAAGAGAUCAGCAGGCUUCUACCUUUAUCUAAAGCCCACUCAGCAGCCCCAAUCUGCAACCUUCCACUGGGCUCCAUAAACUGACCUACAACUCUGAUUCCUUUUCUGGAGGACUGCCAGGAAGAACAACACACCUAAAAGCUUUAGUUUAAAAAUGAGCAAACACACUAUGUUUGGUGUGAUUCUUUACAGAGAAGUAGAUAGCAAGAAAUACUCAAACUCAGAGCUGAAAUAAGUCAAUUAGUAACAAAGAAAACAAUACAAAGACUCAAUGAAAGAGUUGGUUCUUUGAGAUCAUGGAUAAGAAAUCCUUAUCCAAUCAAACUAAAAGGCAGAGACAAUAUCCAAAUUGCCAAAAUCGGAAAUCAAAAGGGGGCUAAAAACAACAGACAAUGAGGAAAACUAAAGAUAUGUUAGGUCUUACUUCAAAAACCUGUACUCCACAAAAUUGUAAAUUCUAAAUGAAAUGGACAAUUUUCUUGACAGAUACCAUUCGCCAAAGUUAAAUCAAGAUUGAAUAAACAAUUUAAAGAUUUAUUCUUAGAAUAAGCAGAAAAGGAAAGGCUAUGUCUUAACAAUGAUAUGUUUGUGUGUCAAUUUAUAUAGGGAUCAAUUAUCCCAGCUAGUUUUACCUGAAGUUGACAAGAGCUACAUUCAUCUGAAAGUUGGGAAUGUCAAUUAAGAAAAUCUGUCUAUAAGAUAAAACUGUAGAGCAUGUUCUUAACUAGGGAUUGAUGUGAGAAGGCCCAUUCCAUUGUGGACAGUGCUAUUGCAUGGCUGGUGGUACUCAGUUCUAUACGGAAGCAGGUUGCAGGCCAUAAAGAACAAGAGGAUAAGCAGCACGCCUCUGCGCAUCUGCAUUUUCUCCUGCCUCCAGGUAACUCCCCCGUUAGAAUUCCAUUCCUGAUUACCUUCAGUAAUAUGGAAGUAUAAGCCAAGUAAAUCCUUUUUUUCUCCAAUUUAUUUUUUAUUGUAGUGUUUUAUUGUAGCUAUAGAAGCCCUACCUAAGACAAGGCCUCUAUAGAGAGCCUCUUAGAGAUUGCUCCUGACACAAGUGUGCAUGCAAAAUGACAGACUAAGAAGACAAAAGUAUCAUCUACAACAGUUGGGUUAAGUGUCUCAUGUAUUCUUCAAUAAGACUGUGCCCAUCCUAAGUUAAAUACCAAACCAGGAAGAGAGAAUGAACUCAAAACAGGACUCUAGUGCUUUCCUAAAAAUGGACUCAUCAAGGUACAUAAAUGUAGAACAAAUUAUUUAGACUCUAAUCAUUGUUUCAAUAAAGCAAUUUGCUGUUCAAAGAACACAGGGAUCUUUGGAGAGGAGAGGCUGCUCAGAUUUACAUUAAAUGUGGUGCAGAAAAGAGAGAGUUAGGUUAAAAUCAGGUGGGUUCAUCUACAAUAGCAAGUUCUCUCUCUCUCUCUCUCUGUCUCUCUCUCUCUCUCUCUCUCAUUGUUUCAUUUUCAUUUUUCUCUUUUGACUAGUCAAAAUGAUUAAGUUUUAAGCCAGUGAUAUAUAGUAUAAAUUACCCUAGAUUAUGAUGAAAGUUUUAAUUAUUGCUUGCUAAGUUUUUUUGUAUAGAUAUAACUUCUUCCAAAAUGACACGGCAUUCCCUCUUAUUGUUUAUUCUGUAAAGAAAAAAUGGAUUAAUAGGCCAGAUGUAGUAGUGUAUAGAUCAAACAAAAUGUAAGAUUUGUUGUUUUGUUUUCCAAGUUCUUUCUAAACCAGAAACUUUUUUGCUACCUUUUGAAAAGUAUGUUCAAGUAGUCAUUGAGACCUGUGCCAAGAACCAGCCCAAGCUGAUGGCUGUGGUUAGUGGAAAUCUUAUUUGUUUUGGGAAUCAAAUCCAGUGGGGAGAAAAAAGGCAACUUUUGAACAAAAUUGUAAAAAGAAACAGGUCUAAAGAGAAAUUGAAAUAUUUAGUCCAAAGAAGAUAAUAAUGAUUAAGUGGAAAAUAAUGUUCAUACCCUCUUAUUUUGACUUUACAGACUGGAAUCUUUUUUAUGGUCCUAUAGUGCUGCCGUCACUGCGGAGAGUUGUGCUCCAUCAGCAGUAGUUUACUGAUGAUAUUUCUCUCAGUCUUGGGUUAAAUAGUGGCACCAAAAAUUAGUUGGUAAAUUUCUUUGAUAACUAUUUUGAGUGAAAAUUUGUCAACUAAUACAGGGCUUUACCUAGAAGAGCACUCCUAGUAAGUCUUUAGCUGGACAGUUCUAGCAGGGCAUGGCUAGUUUCUAAGCAUAGAGCUGAACUUGGCUCAAGAGGUCUCUCCUCCAGGUGCUGACAUGACCUUAUUUCUGAAUAAAUUGGCUUCAGUUUUGGAGGAAAUAUCAGCAUAGAUAUUUAUCCAAUCCCAAUCCAGGUCCAAAAGUACCAUAUUGAUUCCUACUUGGCAAAUUAAUGUAGAAAAUAACCUAGAAAAAAAUAGCCUUUUUAACUAACAGCCCUUAGUGAGCACUGAGUUUAUUGUUCUCCUACUUUAACAGCAUCUUCUUUCCCCUAAAGGACAACCACUUCAUUGUAUGUUUUUAAAUUGAAUUUCAACUUUUUAUGUAUAGUCCUCUCAGUGAAAACUUUUUAGAAUUGUUUUAUUUUCUGCUCAUGAUCAAAAAACAAUGUAGGCCAUAAAUAAAGUUUCACAAGUUUGGCAAGGUUAAUGGUAGUUUGCCACAGUUGUUAUUAAAAUAUUAUGGUGCUGAAUCAUCAAGCCUCUACAGGACCAAGCUUAUCCCCUCCCAUUGAGGGCAAACAAGGCCAUGUAUGUUCCUCAGUAGGUGGCUUAGUCUCUGGUAGCCCUGAGGGGUUUGAUGAGUUGAUACUAUUUAUCUUCCUAUGGGGUUACAAUCUUCUUCUGCUCCUUCAGUCCUUUCUCUAACUCUUCCAAAGGGGUCUCUGAUCUCUAUCCAAUGAUUGUCUGUAUCUGAAUCUGUCUCAGUUAGUUGUUGGUAGAGCCUCUCAGAGGACAGCCAUGUCAGACUCCUGUCUGCAAGCACAACAUGGCAUCAGCAAUAGUGUCGGAGUUUGGUGCCUGAGCAUGGAAUGGAUCCCAUGUUGGGCUGUCUCUGGAUGGCCUUUUCUUCAGUCUGCUCCAUUUUUUUCUCUGCAUUUCCUUUAGACAGGAACAAUUCUGGGUCAAAAACAUUGAGAUGAGUAGAUGGCCCCAGUUAUGAUGAAUGUUAUUUAACUUCUGUUUAAUGUUCUUUCAACUCGAGGUGUUCUUUGAAUAAUGUCAAGCAUCCCAAUAAUAUUUUGAAAUAAUAAGAUAGCACUUACCCACAAUUCUAUAGCCAUCUAAAUUUUAUUGCAUGGUACAUAAAUUACACAUUAAUUCUAUUUUUAUUUUCAUGAUAAAGUUUGGUUAUUUUUGCAUCUAAAAUUGUUAUUGGGAAAUUAUGUUUCCAUCAUAGAAGUUUAGAAACAAAAGGGAUAUUUCAAACAGCUAAAACAAAUAUCUUGUCCUGUCUAAAAGAACUACAGAGAUAAAAAUGGAGCAGGGACUGAAGGAAUGGCCAACCAACAACAAGCCCAACUCAAGACCCAUCCCCUGGGCAAAAACCAGUUCCUGACACAAUGAUACUCGGUUCUUGCAGACUGGAGCCUAGAAUAAUUGUCUUCUGAGAGGCUCUACCCAGCAGCUGAUGAAAACAAAUGCUGAUACCCACAGUCAAACAUUAGAAGGAGUGCUGCCUUAUCUGGCCUCAAUAGGAGAGAAUUUGCCAAACUCAGCAGAGACUUGAUAGUACCACAGUUGGAGGAUACCCAGGGAGGGACCAUGGAUGUAGUGAUGAGGCUGGAGAUGAAGAGCAGGUGAGGAUGAAGAAGUUGAGUAGAGUGCUUUGACUUCUACAACUAUCAAAAAUGCCCAUCUGACUGUUUUUCUCUCACUUCAGUUAAUGACUCAGGAAAUGGAACUCAGCUUGGUACUUACUUUGGAGCAUAGUUGCAGACCAAAUACACUGCUCGUCGCCACACAGAUCCCCAGACAUUCAUGUUUUGGAUCUCACGAUGGAUCUCAGGAUGGACUUUUCUGCCACCACCUCCUGUGCACUGAUUUACAAGUGUGAGCCAUCACAACGGGAUUUACACUCAGAGGAUGGGAACCUGACCAGUGCCAGCAUGUAUGAUUCACAAAAUCUACUGUUAUCAUUUCUAUUAUGUUAACACAGAUGUGUUUAUCUUUAUAUCCAUUUCAAAAUCUUAAAGAUAAUAAAUUUAAAUUUUGUG